CCUACGGGAGGCAGCAGUAGGGAAUAUUGCUCAAUGGGCGAAACCCUGAAGCAGCAACGCCGCGUGGAGGAAGACGGUUUUCGGAUUGUAAACCCCUUUUUUUAGAGAAGAUAAUGAGUGUACGUAACGAAUAAGCACCGGCCAACUCCGUGCCAGCAGCCGCGGUAAUACGGAGGGUGCAAGCGUUACGCGGAAUCACUGGGCGUAAAGAGCGCGUAGGCGGGAUAGCAAGUCAGAUGUGAAAUCCUAGGGCUUAACCAUAGAACUGCAUGUGAAACUGUUAUUCUAGAGUAUGGGAGAGGUAGGUGGAAUUCUUGGUGUAGGGGUAAAAUGCGUAGAGAUCAAGAAGAAUACUCAUUGCGAAGGCGACCUGCUAGUACAUAACUGACGCUGAUGCGCGAAAGCGUGGGGAGCAAACAGGAUUAGAUACCCGAGUAGUC
rnacentral:rRNA from 1 species